AGAGGCCUCUGGCUGGGAUCCAGGACACGUUUCGGGCCGUCGUGGCGCCUUUUCUUUCUUUUUUUACUCCCUCUUUGUAUUGUCUUUCUCUUCCUGGGGAAGCGAUUAGAUCAGGGCGAGGCCGACUCUGAGCUAGAGACCUGCAGAUCAUGGACCCUGCGGGUGUCUGCAGGGUUAGGGUGCGAACCCAGCUGCGACGGCUCACCCUGGGCGCUUUGGAACCUGUAGGGGCGGUUAGUGUGGCCGAAUCCAAAUUUGGAUAUUUGGGUUUUGUUUAUGUUGGCCACCUUGGACGUAAAAAAAAUAAAUGUGUUGCUGUAUUAGAAUGUAGGGAAAUUAGACAGAAUUGCCUAGUGUUCUCGAAUUGCAGCAAAAGACUGUUGCAGCCUCCCCUUUGUGCCCAAGUCCUUCCAACUCGGCCUGCCCCAGCCCCUAGACAAUCCUGGCCACCGUCUUAUUUUACAUGGGUCUGAGAGAACAGCUAAUUUACCCAGAGCCACCUUGCCUACCUGACAGAAUUAUGCGUGCCUCAAGAAGAGAACUGGGGACUCUAUAGCAGGCCAGGACUUCUUUGGUUGUGACCCAGGGAAGUCCCUUGAGUUCCGGUUAGAGGCCUUUGAUAUGGAGAGGAACCUAAGGGCUGGCUGGUUGUAAAUCAGGAUUGUCUCCUUUGUUAUGAGAAUGGAGCCUAAUGGCUGGGCAAUCCUACCAGAGAGCCUCUUUUCAGGAAGCUUCAUUCACAAUGUCUCAGUUGGCUUUCAUCUACAUUGGAACCCCAGAGAAGUAGGCUUGGACAAAUAAUGCCUCAGCAGCAGAAAAGAUGAACUUGUCAUUGAGAGAAACGGCAAGCAGGCAAAAGCAAAAUCGUCCAUGUCCUUUUAUGUGGACCACCACCAGAAAGUGUGACCCAGAUUUAGGAUGGGUCUUCCCAAUUCAGAUAAUCUAACUAAGAAAAACCCUUUCCAGGUGUGCCCAGAUGCUUGGGUCAAGAUACAUUUUAUAGAAGAUAUAUGAAGUUGUUGAAGAAUAAAUAAUACCCUUUUUAAGAAAGAAUUAGCAGUUUCCUUCACCGAGCCACUUGGAAAGGAUAAGAAAAAGCCAGGUUUUAUUUCUCAGGACUUGGGAAGUAGAGGAAGGAGGACCUCAUGAGCUGAGGCUAGUCUGGGCUAUAUAGUGGAAUCCUGUCUCAAAAAACAAAACAAAACAAAACAAAACAAAAAACCAAUAAAGUUGGGAGUAGAAUCUCAUACCAGUAAUCACAGUUCCUUGGAGACUGCUAAGGCUGGGGGAUUGCUAUAAGUUUGAGGCAAGCUUGGCUACAUAGUGAGUUCUAGGCUAGUCAGGACUACAGAGUGAGACCCUACCUCAAAACAAAAACAAAAAUAAGUGUUAAGAAAGAUGUCUGAACUAGUAAAGGUGCUUGCCUCCAAUCCUGAUGACCUCAGUUCAAUUCCCAGAACCCACAGGGUCACAGAAGAAAAUCAACUCUUUGUCCUUGACCUCUGCAGUAUGCUGUGGCUCCUGUGCUCCUCACACUUAGAAUAAAUAAAUGUAAUCAUAGCAAAACCGAAUAAAGAUUCUCAAAGGGAAGUAUCAGUGGUGAGAGGACUGUGACAGUCAAUGCUAUUGCUCUCUGCAGUCCAAGUCGUUGCCCAAAUCUUCUAGAGACCUCAACUCAGGCCAAACCAGGAUUCCUAGCCUCAAUGCAGAAAAGAAUUUGGAGCCUAGCUAGUUUGAAUUAAAGUUGGUGAUUUUUCGUAAAGAUGUUUUGAUAAAAGCUUGAACAUGAGGGUUAAAAGAGAUGGGAGUGAAGAAGGAAGAGAUUUGUCCAUGUGCUGGGUGUGCUUCCUAAGAGCAUAGCAGAGUAUAUGUCAUAGUCAAGUAUGGGUACAUGUUUCUCAGGGAGAAUCACAGGCAAUUGAACCAACAGUGUCGAUAUAUAUCAUUUUGGUGACUUUCCAGUUAUAGCUCAAAAGGUGGUAAAGAAAUAUUUUUCCUUCUUUUGUAUUUUUAAAUUUAUUUUUAUUUGAUGUGUAUGAGAGUUUAUCUGCUUGUAUGAAUGUGUUCUCUGUGUAUAUAGUGCCUGAGGAGGCCAGAAGAAGGUACUGAAUUCCCUGGAAUAACUAGAGUUAUACAGAUGGUUGUGAACUGCCAUGUGGGUGCUGGGAACUUUGAACCAAGGUCCUCUACAAGAAGAGCAAGUGCUCUUAAGCAUCUUAAGAGAUAGCUCUCAGCCAAGCGGUGGUGAUGCACGCUGCCU